ensembl:lncRNA
AUGCCACAGCCUCCGGCCGCUGCUCUUCGGGGACCCGGAGCCGCCCGUGGAGGGCGCGCGGUCCGACCUGAACCCGAUGCCGGACUUGGACCUGGCCCCUGUCCGGACUCCUGCGCAAGAGAGGCGGCGGCGCACGGACCGGCAGCGCGCGGAGGAGCGCGAGGCCAGGCGGGUCAGCAAGAGCAUCGACCGCCGACUCCGCGAGCAGAGGCGCGACCUGCGGCGGACGCACCGGCUGCUGCUGCUCGCCCGGAAUACGGCCCUUCUGCCUCACUGAGUUGGCUUCAACCCUGGUGUCCUCAGAAUCCCGCUCCUCCUUCAGAUUCGUCCGCUGUGGCCCCUGCGCACAGGGAAGAGAACGCGACGCCGCCGGCGCAAAGUUUAGGGAGAAAAAAAGUAAGACGUGGGCUUCUGACCCCCAUUUUGUGAGCUCUAAAGAAGAAUAAUUGUUCUCUGCCCAGCGGCGCACGAAGAACCCAGCCUACGAUGGAGGUAGAUCCUGCUUACAAAUGAAAGGAGACUUUUCUUUAAGGACAUCUAAAUCUUCGGUUUGGAACGGCUCACCAUUGCAAUAAUGAACAAGUAAAAUGGCACAAACCUAGCUACAGUCUCCAGUGAAAUAUCUGAAUUCGAAUAUAAAGGGAAACGUUUUUGGAGAAUCAAAGAGCAAAAAAUACAGAAGGGAUCAGGUUACCUGAAAAGGGAAGAGGAGGCAUCAGAAGCAGAGUUCUCAUGUACACUGCUGACUUCCCCACAGGAGACAGCAAUGUUGCCAGAGGUCUGAAAAUACUGAACGGUGAUCCUAGACGCUCGCACCUCAUUAAACCACUGUGGGCAUAUGCAUAUGUCUGUGUGUGUGUGUACCUGUGUCUAUGUGAGGGGAAAAUAGAUUUUCAGAUACAUAAUUGCUCAAAGGAUAUCCCCACCCACAUAUUUUUCCAGAAAGAAAUCACUUAGAAAUUACUCCAGCUAAAUUUCUUUUCAUGCACCAAAUUAACUCAAAAAGGAGAGAAUUGUGGUCUCAAGAAAUAAGAGAAAACCAAAUAAGGUCCAGAGUUCUGGCAUCUUAAUGUUUUAAUGUGAUUGUGCAGCCAAACAGAAACAUUUAAAAGGAUAUGUGAAGCAAAAGAUGCUCCAUGUAGAGAAAAAAUUUAAAUGCAGGCCCAGCGUUGCCCAUCUUGAAUUUUCAGAAUAAGAGGGAAAAUGUUUGAUUUUCACCUGAAAGCUCCUUAUUGUUAACCAUUGGCUCAUAUCUAUAAAGGGCUUCCCAGGUGGCGCUAGUAGUAAAGAACCUGCCUGCCAAUGCAGAAGUCAGAAGGGAUGCAGGUUCAAUCCCUGGGUCAGGAAGAUCCCCUGGAGGAAGGGUAUGGCAACUCACUCCAGUGUUCUAGCCUGGAGAAUCCUGUGGACAGAGGAGCCUGAGAGGCUACAGUCCGUGGGGUCUCAAAGAGUCAGACAUGACUGAGCAACUGAGCACACACAUAUUAAUAAAGCACAAUCUCCAUGCCUGAUUCGGCCCAUGAGCCACUGCCAACAAAAACACAGAUGACAAGACUGGGUGUGGGGUCAAAAUACGUUGUCUGUCUGAACACCCAGCAAUCAAAGCUGGAUCCCCACCCUACAAGUGUACCUUUCAGCUGCUGAACUCAUAGUCAUGACAUAGUUAUUGUUGUUCGGUUGCUCAGUCGUGUCCAACUCUUUGCAACCACGUGGACUGUAGCACACCAGGUCUCCCUGCCUCUCACUAUAAUCGAUGUCCCACACCAUAGUAGGUGCCACUUUACAUUCUGAUUGGAAAAGUAUUCAUUUGAUGUUAUCCAUUUUCCAGAUACCAUUCAAAUUAAAAAUGGACAACUAUGAGUAGGAUUCGUGUUUUCUGCCUCCUUCAAUUAUCUCCUGCUAUUUUCCUGUGUGUAUGGUCUUUCUCCACCAGCAAUACAUCUUUCUAGAAGGAGGCCAUCUCUGUGGGACGUUUACUGUCAUCGCCUUGUACUUGGCUGUUGGGAUAAACCAGAACUCUGGCUUGACCCCCAUCCAUGUCUAGUUCCUCUAAAAGGGAGUACUUGGUGAAAUCACAGAAAAACAAUGUUCUCCAG